GACGAACGCUGGCGGCGUGCUUAACACAUGCAAGUCGAACGGAAAGGCGCUGCCGGGGUGGGGUGCUUGGGUGGCGGACGGGUGAUUAACACGUGAGUAACCUGCCCUGGAGGUUGGGAUAACUUCAGGAAACUGGGGCUAAUACCGGAUCGGAGCUCCUGCUGGGGGGAGGGGGCAGGAAAGUUUGGGCGGUUGGGGUUGGACUUGCGGCUGUUCGGCUUGCUGGUGGGGGAGUGGCUUACCAAGGCAUGGACCGGUAGCUGGCCUGGGAGGGUGACCGGCCACAUUGGGACUGAGAUACGGCCCAGACUCGUACGGGAGGCAACGGUGGGGAAUAUUGCCCAAUAGGCGGAAGCCUGAUGCAGCAACGCCGCGUGCGGGAUGACGGCCUGGGGGUAGUAAACCGCUUUCGCCUGUGACGAAGCGUGAAUGACGGUAAUGGGAGAAGAAGCACCGGCUAACUACGUG
rnacentral:rRNA from 1 species